AGGGUUUGAUCCUGGCUCAGAACGAACGCUGGCGGCAUGCCUAACACAUGCAAGUCGAACGCUAUCUUUGAUAGAGUGGCGCACGGGUGAGUAACGCGUGGGAACCUGCCUUUUUCUGCGGGACAACGGUUGGAAACGACCGCUAAUACCGCAUACGCCCUACGGGGGAAAGGUCCGCCGGAGAAAGAGGGGCCCGCGUUUGAUUAGCUUGUUGGUAGGGUAAUGGCCUACCAAGGCGACGAUCAAUAGCUGGUCUGAGAGGAUGAUCAGCCACACUGGGACUGAGACACGGCCCAGACUCCUACGGGAGGCAGCAGUGGGGAAUAUUGGACAAUGGGGGCAACCCUGAUCCAGCAAUGCCGCGUGUGUGAUGAAGGCCCUAGGGUUGUAAAGCACUUUCACUGGUGAAGAUGAUGACGGUAACCAGAGAAGAAGCCCCGGCUAACUUCGUGCCAGCAGCCGCGGUAAUACGAAGGGGGCGAGCGUUGUUCGGAAUUACUGGGCGUAAAGGGCGCGUAGGCGGCUCUUUAAGUUAGGCGUGAAAGCCCCGGGCUCAACCUGGGAACUGCGCUUAAGACUGGAGAGCUAGAAAACGGAAGAGGGUAGUGGAAUUCCCAGUGUAGAGGUGAAAUUCGUAGAUAUUGGGAAGAACACCAGUGGCGAAAGCGGCUACCUGGUCCGGAUUUGACGCUGAGGCGCGAAAGCGUGGGGAG
rnacentral:rRNA from 1 species